UGUUUCUAUAAUUUAUAGAGAAUAUUGCUUUGAAGGUGCAAAAGAGGUAGUUAUACCUGGGAACAG
rnacentral:tRNA from 1 species